UACGGAGGGUGCGAGCGUUGUCCGGAAUCACUGGGCGUAAAGGGCGCGUAGGCGGCCCGGCAAGUCAACGGUGAAAGCUUGGGGCUCAACCCCGAGUCGGCCGUCGAUACUUCCGGGCUGGAGCACUGUAGAGGCAGGUGGAAUUCCGGGUGUAGCGGUGGAAUGCGUAGAGAUCGGGAGGAACACCAGUGGCGAAGGCGGCCUUCUGGACCAAUACUGACGCUCAUGCACGAAAGCGUGGGGAGCAAACAGG
rnacentral:rRNA from 1 species